UUACUGAGUUUACGCUCUAUAACCCUUUGUGAACAUACCUAUAACUGUUGCUUCGGCGGGCAGGGUCUCCGUGACCCUCCCGGCCUCCCGCCCCCGGGCGGGUCGGCGCCCGCCGGAGGAUAACCAAACUCUGAUUUAACGACGUUUCUUCUGAGUGGUACAAGCAAAUAAUCAAAACUUUUAACAACGGAUCUCUUGGUUCUGGCAUCGAUGAAGAACGCAGCGAAAUGCGAUAAGUAAUGUGAAUUGCAGAAUUCAGUGAAUCAUCGAAUCUUUGAACGCACAUUGCGCCCGCCAGCAUUCUGGCGGGCAUGCCUGUUCGAGCGUCAUUUCAACCCUCAAGCUCUGCUUGGUGUUGGGGCCCUACAGCUGAUGUAGGCCCUCAAAGGUAGUGGCGGACCCUCCCGGAGCCUCCUUUGCGUAGUAACUUUACGUCUCGCACUGGGAUCCGGAGGGACUCUUGCCGUAAAACCCCCCAAUUUUCCAAAGGUUGACCUCGGAUCAGGUAGGAAUACCCGCUGAACUUAAGCAUAUCAAUAAGCGGAGGAA
rnacentral:rRNA from 1 species